UGCAUCAUUCUGUAAUGAGGACUGACUCGGUUGUGGGUUUGAAUCCAUGUGCAGAGUUUUAUUAAGCACCACAGCACAAACAGAGGCAAACGGAGAGCAGAUAUCGUGGUCAAUAAGCAGGCAAAGGGUCGCAAACAAUAGUGGCAGUCCAGAUAGCAAACACAUCCAAAUCAGUAAUCCAAAAGACGAGGUCAAAGGCAGGUAAAAGACAUACACAAGCAAACAAUCCGUGACUAUGAAAUACGCUUGGUAGAGACAGGGUAAACUGGCAAUACCUCGCAACAUAAUGCACAAACAACAUGGCUUAAAACAGGUGCAGGCAGGAAGUGAUGAGAGAAGAAGCGGCAGUGUUCAGUAUUCGGGAGACAGCUCCCUCUGGCGGUUGGAUGAAUGAAUGUCGGAUGCAGAUGUUACACAUUCAGAGCUGAAAACACUCCAGCCACAUAAAUGGCUGGUGGGGGAGACAAUCCGAUGCUAUUUUCAAGUGUUGGUGAACAACAGCGAACAGGGAAAUAAAAUUUACAUACUUGAUCACUACACAGCGGGAAUUAUAAUUCAUGGUGAAAGAGAUCAAGUCCGGAGAAAAAGCCCCUCAAAGGUGAACUUUGAUGACUAUGAUGGACUGAUUAGCUUCCUGAAUGUCAAUGGGAGCCAUUGGGUAUUUUCGUAUGUCCAUGCAGCAUCCAGCCAUGUGUUUGUGGUAGACCUUGCGGAACAUGAUGAAAAGGCCAAAUCCAUGCAUGCCGCCUGCAGAUUUAGAUGGCUAAAGAAGUUGUAGCUGAUUUACACAUCCAAGCAGCAUAUGGAAGAUGUGCGACUGAGAAUGGCUAAGGAAAUUCUGCAAGCCUCAGUAUUCAAGAGAGGACAUUACUGUUCUGCUUGUGCUGCCUCAAAACCCCCUUGUGGAGGUGCAAAAACGGUUUGGGUGGGUAAAACCAUUCCUUAUACAAUUAAUAUGGUCAUACUACAUUGUUUACAACUGUGUGUGUGAGUGAGUGAGUGAGUGAGUGAGUUAGAGAGAGAGAGAGAGAGAAUUUUUCUUGAUUUCCCCAAUUUCCAAGAUCAGCAUUUACAGUACUACCCAAAUUCACGUUCAUUAUCAGUGUGGUUUUGCGCAGCUUGUCAGUGAACAAUGGCUCUGUGUAGUAAAUGCUGCUCGAUGUGAAAUUUUUUUUGCUUAACGUUAUCUCAGAAACAACUUAUCAUUUUGACUGUUUUAAGUAACAUUUUUAAAUUUGACAAUUUGUGUGUCACACGCAAGGCUUCCACAGCACAUUCAAAGCAGGCCUUUCCUUACCUGGCAGCGGAGACACCAUGAUCAAGAAGGCGGUUCACCCAGGGCGAGGCUCGUUCAUUGCACUCCGGCCGUGCUGAUCCCUGCAAUUCAUCAUGUCACUCCUCUUCACAUCGUGCCUAACCACAGCCCUUAGCUGUUAUAAAUUGACAGUAAACCACAGCUUAUUGCCUUAAGCAUUAUUUGAUGUGGCAAUUAAUUUGAAGCUUAUAUAUAAGCUGUGCUUUACUGUGAAUUUAUAAAAGCUAAAAUAUACUGUAUAUGUGUGUGUGUGUGUGUGUGUGUGUAUUUAUAUAUAUAAUAUUACUAAUCAAUUUGAUAAGAUUAGAUAUUUUAUUAUUAUUAUUAUUAUUAUUAUAUAUUUUUUUCAGAUCGAAUGUCAUCAAUGCAAGAGGUGGUUCCAUGUGACAUGCAUUCAAAUGACAGAGAGACAGUUUAACAGGGCUCAAAAGAGUGAUUGGAAGUGCUGCCUAUGCAAAUAAUUAAAAAAAUCCUGUGUAAAUGAUGUAUUAUAGUUAUUUUAUGUAAAAGUUAAGGUAUUUGUGGGGGUCUAGGGAUUGGGGGUGUUCCUGGGAAAUAUGAAAAUAUUGAAAAGAUAAUAAUUGAACAAUAAAAUUUAUGAAGUAUUAUUGUUGUCA
ensembl:lncRNA